GAUUUAGAGGUAGAAUUGAUUGCUAACCUUAGCUGCGUUGCUAGCUACCUGUUAAGUGCAAAAAAAGAAAAAGACAAAACAUUUUGUCUUCUCGUCUCUCGUAAUGAUUGUGAACGAUAAUUCCCCAAAAAGGGUAGUUCCCCUUUAAGACGUGAACGGGGCUGGAAGAAUGUGGAAACAUCUGCCAAUUCUAUUAGUUUUGUUUAGUUAAGUGGUCACUCAAACAGCCUAAAUGUCAUCACGGGUUAGUUAGCUGUGGACCAAAACAACCAUGAACUUUGUUACUGUAGUCACGUAUUUAUAAGGUGAGCGUCAAUUUGUACUAGGCAAUGAAUAUUUGGAUGUCUACACGACACGUAGGGCCUGAUCUACCAAAUAUGUGCUUCUCAAACUUGUACCGCCUCAGAAAACACUUCAAGUAGCACCAUAGUGAGCAGCGUUGGAACACGGUAGCGUAGUAGGUCGGAGUAUUCAUUAAAAACAAAGCGGCGCUUUUAUUUAACAAGUACAAACCACAAAAGCAGUGAAGUUGUCACAUUAUGAAUACGAUGAUUUGCACACCCUUAUAUUCAAUUGAAUAGACUGCAAAGACAAGGCAGGCCAGUCUAGUACUCUUUUACUACGUGGCUUGGCAUUGUCUUGCUGAAAUAAGCAGGGGCGUCCACGAUAACGUUGCUUGAACGGCAACAUAUGUUGCUCCAAAAGCUGUAUGUACCUUUCAGCAUUAAUGGUGCCUUCACAGAUGUGUAAGUUACCCAUGUCUUGGGCACUAACACACCCUCCUAGAACAAUCCGGAUGGUUCUUUUCCUCUUCGGUCCACAGUUUCCAGAAACAAUUUGAAAUGUGGACUCGUCAGACCACAGAACAGUUUUCCACUUUGCAUCAGUCCAUCUUCGAUGGGCUCGGGCCCAGCGAAGCCGGCGGUGUUUCUGGGUGUUGUUGAUAAAUGGCUGUGGCUUUGCGUAGUAGAGUAUUAACUUGCACUUACAGAUGAGCAUUUCAUGGAAGCUGCUUUUAUACCCAAUCAUGGCACCCACCUGUUCCCAAUUAGCCUGUUCACCUGUGGGAUGUUCCAAAUAAGUCUUUGAUGAGCAUUCCUCAACUCUGUCACUCUUUUUUGCCACUUGUGCCAGCUUUUUUUUUUUGAACAUGUUGCAGGCAUCAAAUUCCAAAUGAGCUAAUAUUUGCACAAAAUAACAAAUAAUCUUGUCUUUGCAGUCUAUUCAAUUGAAUAUAAGGAGAAAAGGAUUUGUUGUAUUCUCUUUUUAUUUACCAUUUACACAACGUGACAACUUCACUGCUUUUUAACAUUACACACAGUUUGAACAGUAACACUGUGAAUAUUGGGAAAAUAAAACACUGUACUUUAUUUGGCGUACCACCAGAUGGAGCCCACGUACCAGUAGUGGUGCACGUACCACAGUUUGAGAAUCCCUUCUCUAGAUCAACUUCAGAUGUAUCUGUUGAUCUCUCACACACACACACACACACACACACACACACACACACACACACACACACACACACACACACAUUGGACAUGACUGUAACUAUGGAAACCAAAGCUUAACAUAUCCCCCCGCACAUGCAGAAAAAAGGUCCAGCAUGCAUUGCAAAGUGCCAUUUUGUGUCAGACGUUAUCCCGCCCUUCCCCCUCUGCUGUGUGCGUGCGUCCAAGGCUCCAUGCUUGUUGCCGUGCCAACCAUGUCUCCGUGCUAGCGCGUGUGCAAGGUCACGGAGGACACUGACUGACGGGAAGACUCUCAAGGUCACGGAGGACACUGACUGACGGGAAGACUCUCAAGGUCACGGAGGACACUGACUGACGGGAAGACUCUCAAGGUCACGGAAGACACUGACUGACAAGACUCUCAAGGUCACGG